UCCAUGGUGGCUCAGAUGGUAAAGUAUCUGCCUACAAUGCAGGAUACCCAGGUUCGAACCCUGGGUCGGGAA
rnacentral:tRNA from 1 species